rnacentral:rRNA from 1 species
UAGGGAAUCUUCCGCAAUGGGCGAAAGCCUGACGGAGCAACGCCGCGUGAGUGAUGAAGGUCUUCGGAUCGUAAAACUCUGUUAUAAGGGAAGAACAAAUGUGUAAGUAACUAUGCACGUCUUGACGGUACCUAAUCAGAAAGCCACGGCUAACUACGUGCCAGCAGCCGCGGUAAUACGUAGGUGGCAAGCGUUAUCCGGAAUUAUUGGGCGUAAAGCGGGCGUAGGCGGUUUUUUAAGGCUGAUGUGAAAACCCACGGCUCAACCGUGGAGGGUCAGUGGGAACAGGAAAGCUUGAGUGCAGAAGAGGAAAGUGGAAUUCCAGGUGUAGCGGUGAAAUGCGCAGCGAUGUGGAGGAACACCAGUGGCGAAGGCGAGUUUGUGGUCUGUAAAUGACGCUGAUGUGCGAAAGCGUGGGGAUCAAACAGG